UACAGAGGGUGCAAGCGUUGUUCGGAAUUAUUGGGCGUAAAGCGCGUGUAGGCGGCUUAGCAAGUCGGGCGUGAAAGCCCUCGGCUCAACCGAGGAAGUGCACCCGAAACUGCUGAGCUUGAGUGCCGGAGAGGAUGGCGGAAUUCCCCAAGUAGAGGUGAAAUUCGUAGAUAUGGGGGGGAACACCGGUGGCGAAGGCGGCCAUCUGGACGGUAACUGACGCUGAGACGCGAAAGCGUGGGUAGCAAACAGG
rnacentral:rRNA from 1 species